CACCCCGAGGGGCUGCAUGCAGGGGUGCCCACCCUCGGGGCCCUGAGGCCUCGGGGGGGUGAACCCUUUGGGCCAGGGAAGGGGGGUGGGUCCCCAAGAAGGGCCCCCCACCACCCCAACCCCGCAGUCUGAUGCCUGGGGCGGCCACCAGCAGGGCUGGGCCACUGGCCCGCGUGGCAAGACGGGACUCGCUGCAAUACAGGGCUGAUCUAUAGGGCUGAUCUAUAAUUGAUGUAUAGCCUUGAUCUAUAGGGUAGGUCUGGAGCAGGGCUCGAGUCCCGCAGCGGACGCCGACGGGUGCCCGUCGCCCUCCGCGGAGCCGCCGCCUGCGAUGUGUUGGGGUGGCGGCAGAGGGUGCCACCCGGCCGCCGCCGCGCCUCCCGCCGUAACUCGUUAAGAGGUGUCCAAAUCAACGCGUGCUCCUUAAAAAACCCGCCUAUUAAAGCUCUGCUGGAGAUCACCGUCUUCUGCGGGUCAAGGAUUGUUCGACAACGCCUCCUACAAGGUCAGAAACCCCAAAUCGGUGAAGCCCUGAACUCUGAAAACAGGAAGGCGAGUGCUCAGCUGUUCCGCGCCGCCGGGCAGAUAAAUGUGUCGGAGGCGAGCAGGAGCCGCAACGAAGAGGAACUAACGAGCACGGUUGGACCGGCGGCUCCCCAGAGGGGUCCCCCCCACCCCCAAGCCCUCUCCGAAGGGCUGAGGAGAGUCUGGGAGAGGCUUUUGCCGCCGCGGCGGAGCCCCGGCAGGUCAGAAGGAAGCGCGUGGCCCAGGCGAGGUCCAAAGAGGCACUUUUAUUCGCGGCCGCGACGCAGGGAACGCGCCUGAUGAUGCGGGGAACGCGCACAGGCGCUCCUGCCGGGGGUACGGCCUCGCGCAGGAGCCCCGCUGCGUAGCUGAAUGCCUCAGAAAUACAUUAAAAAAGGAGGAAUAUUUUUCAUAGAACAUCAGCCCCGCUGUUUUUAGCAUAUUUUUAGGUUUUUUUUCACUUGCCCUGGCCCGAUUCGGGGAAGGAUUUGGAGCAUGUGCGGUUUAUAGGGGGAAAAGUUGCAUCUCGAUACAGAAAAGAGCGCGGUUAUUCCUCAAGACAGACAAAUUAAUGCCUUUAAACACACAGCUUUGCACGGGAGAUGUCACCAAAGAAACAACCCAAGCCUUUCCGCACACUAAAAUCCCGCCGGAGCGCUGCCCUCGCCUGAGUGGCUCUGUUUUUUUUACCAAAACCCCCUAGUUUACGGGAUGAUUUGCCCCCCCCACCGCUUUCCGAAGCUCUCGGCGAGCGCGGCCCCUGGGGUUGUCGGCUUUGAAACAACUCCUUCGGCGCGUUGGAAACGGGAACCCCGAAUUCUGCUCCUCAAACUCCGACUUGCCAGAACGCGGCAGAGCCACCCCCGCGGCCCAGAGACCACAUUUCGCUGGAUUUAUUCUUUUAUUUCAACAUUUCUAUUUCCAGACCUAAAUAAUCUCUACUGCUUAUGGGCUGUUUAUGCGAAUGAACGGAGCUCCCGCUGCUUCCCCGCUAUUUUGGGCAGCAUUUCCACAACCAAAGUGUCUGGACACAGGAAGGGAACGGCCGAAGCUGAGGAGCCCGAGUAAAACUUACCCUCUACACCAAGAUUUCAAACAGGAAAUAAAACAAACCACCUCAAAACCUACCCAAGGAUGGGAGAGGAGAGAAAUAA